UUUUUCUUCUUUUUAUUUUUAUUUUUUGAGACACAGUCUUGCUCUGUCACCCAAGCUGGAGUGCAGUGGCGCAACCUUGGCUCACUGCAACCUCCAUCUUGAGGGUUCAAGAGAUUCUCCUGCCUCGGCCUCCCAACUAGCUGGGAUUACUACUGGUUAUGGAUUACAUAACCAUUACGCCCUGCUAAUUUUUCUAUUUUUGUCGAGACGGGGUUUCACCAUGUUGGCCAGGCUGGUCUUGAACUCCUGACCCCAGGUGAUCCGCCAGCCUCAGCCUCCCAAAGUGCUGGGAUUACAGGCCUGAGCCACUGCACCUGGCCUAUUUUUAAUUUUUUUAAUAGAGACAGGGUCUUACUAUGUUGCCCAGGCUGAUUUCCUACUCCUGGCCUAAAGCAAUCCUCCUGCUUCGGCCUCCCUAAGUGCUAGAAUUACAAGCAUGAGCCAGCAUGCCCCAUCUGUUUUUCUUCCGACAACUCACCAGACAGCUCUACUUGGACAUCCCAAGUCCUCUCAAAUACAGCCUGUCACCUUACUGCAUUCCCCACACCUUCCUGUUCUGUUAUGUGAUUGUCAGAGGCAUUUGAAUCAGAGCAACUCCAUCUUGAAUAGGGGCUGAGUAAAAUAAGGCUGAGACCUACUGGGCUGCAUUCCGAGACAGUUAGGCAUUCUAAGUCACAGGAUGAAAUAGGAGGUCGGCACAAGAUGCGGGUCAUAAAGACCUCACUGAUAAAACAGGUUGCGGUAAAGAAGCCAGCCAAAACUCACCAAAACCAAGAUGGUGACGAGAGUGACCUCUGGUCGUCCUCACUGCUAUGCUCCCACCAGCGCCAUGACAGUUUACAAAUGCCACGGCAAUGUCAGGAAGUUAUCCUAUAUGGUCUAAAAAGGGGAGACAUCAAUAAUCCACCCCUUGUUUAAAAAAUAAUUCGGAAAUAACCACAAAAAUGGGCAACCAGCAGCCCUUGGGGGGCUAUGCCUAUGGAGGAGCCAUUCUUCCUUUACUUUCUUAAUAAACUUGCUUCACUUUACUCUAUGGACUCGCCUCCAAUUUUUUCUUGCGCGAGUCCAAGAAUCCUCUCUUGGGGUCUGGAUUGGGACCCCUUUCCAGUAACAUGAUCAUCAUCUACCCCCAGAUUGCCUGCAGUUAUCAGAUUCUCCUUUUCCUACUCUAUUCCACCCUACAGAUCAGAUCAAUCACCACAUCUCAUGGGCUCAGACUCCCAAACAGCCCUGAAAUCUGCAAUAUCCUUUCCAGCCACACCACUCACCAAAUAAGUUCCAGCCCCCUAAUUUGUGCCCACACUUCGAUUAUCCCCCUAAGUGUUUCCCAAAGUGUGGAACAUGUACAACUGGUGGUCGCCUCACAUGCUGCUAGGUGAUUCUUCAACUUUUUUUUCUUUUUAAUGGUCGUUUUUUGUAUUAUAGAUUAUACUUAAGAAAUAAAUUCUUAAGUAGCAUCUCAAGACUACAUUUCCACAGGUAUAAUUGCUUUGAACAAACUUUCAUGACGUUUGAAUAACCUGAGGACCUUUUGAAAAGUCUACCCCAUACCCCAAGGGCCAAUACAUACCCCAGACCAAUUAAAUCACAACCUCAUGAGGUGGGCACAGGCUCAGGUCUAGAAACUCCCCAGGUGCUUCCAAUGCAGACAAGUUUGGGGACCAGUCCAUGAAAAUGAGACUGAAACAGGAAUUGAAGGAAAGAAGGCUGAGCCCACCUAAAGAAAAUAAAGCAAAUAGUAAUAUAUGUGGUAAACUGCCAGGAAGGGUACCCACCAACUCCACCCCAAUUUGCCCACUUCGGCAGUGAAAGUCUGGCAUCCCAGGAUAUCCCUCAGUCUCCGCUAAACCCGGACAGUCAGUCACCCUACUCAGGUAAGGCAAAGUGUCUAAGGUUUAGGAAGCAGCGCUGGCAUUCUCCAAAAUGUGUUCAGCAGAAUGCUACCCACCACCCCUAGGGUAUUAACAGCUGUGAGGCUACAAAGACUUCCACUGUGGAACAAAUGUGGAACACCCUAGGGAUAUUCCAGGAUAAGUGGUUAAGCUAAUGGUUUUCUUCAAAGCCAAUUUCUCAAAACUUUCAAUUUACUAUGAUACUUUACAUUGUCCAAGAGAAGAAUAUAAUAUCCUGCAUUUUUCAAACUUAUUUGAGGACCUUUUUUGGUGAAGCACCUUAUACACUAUUAAGGUUUCAAGAAAGCUUCUUGGCAGAUGCUGCUCUACAUAUACUUCCAGACAAUUUUUAGAAAAUAUAAAUCUAAUAAUGUCACUUCUUCAUUAUCAACUUUUUGCUAGAAAAAAAAAAAUCCAAUCUCCUUUGCAGGUGGUCGACUUUCCAAGCUCUCCCAUCCUUUACCCCUUCCUACGCUCAAGUCCAAUGUUUCUCAAACUUUUAGAAGCAUUCAGAUCACUGGGGGAUACUGCUGCAAAGCUGAUUCUGAUCCAGCAGGAUUUGAGGUAAGCCUGAGACUCUGUGUUUCUAUUGAUGCCAUCACUGCUGA